rnacentral:rRNA from 1 species
AGUGAACGCUGGCGGUAGGCCUAACACAUGCAAGUCGAACGGCAGCACAGUAAGAGCUUGCUCUUACGGGUGGCGAGUGGCGGACGGGUGAGGAAUACAUCGGAAUCUACUUUUUCGUGGGGGAUAACGUAGGGAAACUUACGCUAAUACCGCAUACGACCUACGGGUGAAAGCAGGGGAUCUUCGGACCUUGCGCGAUUGAAUGAGCCGAUGUCGGAUUAGCUAGUUGGCGGGGUAAAGGCCCACCAAGGCGACGAUCCGUAGCUGGUCUGAGAGGAUGACCAGCCACACUGGAACGGAGACACGGUCAAGAUCCCUACGGGAGGCAGCAGUGGGGAAUAUUGGACAAUGGGCGCAAGCCUGAUCCAGCCAUACCGCGUGGGUGAAGAAGGCCUUCGGGUUUUAAAGCCCUUUUGUUGGGAAAGAAAAGCAGCAGGUUAAUACCCCGCUGUUCUGACGGUACCCAAAGAAUAAGCACCGGCUAACUUCGUG